GAUGAACGCUGGCGGCGUGCCUAAUACAUGCAAGUCGAGCGAACGGACGAGAAGCUUGCUUCUCUGAUGUUAGCGGCGGACGGGUGAGUAACACGUGGAUAACCUACCUAUAAGACUGGGAUCACUUCGGGAAACCGUAGCUAAUACCGGAUAAUAUUUUGAACCGCAUGGUUCAAAAGUGAAAGACGGUCUUGCUGUCACUUAUAGAUGGAUCCGCGCUGCAUUAGCUAGUUGGUAAGGUAACGGCUUACCAAGGCAACGAUGCAUAGCCGACCUGAGAGGGUGAUCGGCCACACGGGAACUGAGACACGGUCCAGAGUCCUACGGGAGGCAGCAGUAGGCAAUCUUCCGCAGUGGGCGAAAGCCUGACGGAGCAACGCCGCGUGAGUGAUGAAGGUCUUCGGAUCGUAAAACUCUGUUAUUAGUGAAGAACAUAUGUGUAAGUAACUGUGCACAUCUUGACGGUACCUAAUCAGAAAGCCACGGCUAACUACGUG
rnacentral:rRNA from 1 species